rnacentral:rRNA from 1 species
UAGGAAUAUGCCUUAAAGAGUGGGACAACUUGGGGAAACUCAAGCUAAUACCGCAUAAUCUCUAUGGAGAAAAGCUGGGGACCUUUAGGCCUGGCGCUUUAAGAUUAGCCUGCGUCCGAUUAGCUAGUUGGUAGGGUAAGGGCCUACCAAGGCGACGAUCGGUAGCUAGUCUGAGAGGAUGGCCAGCCACACUGGAACUGAGACACGGUCCAGACUCCUACGGGAGGCAG